CUGAGUCCACAUAAUCUUUGCACUUUGAGCAGAUACGUACCAUGUUGCUCUGGGAUUGUUGCCUAUUAAUAAAUCAUACAGCAGUAUUUGAAUGCACUCCCACUGUGUCUCUGAGAAUUCCAUCCCUGCUCCAGAAGUAAAGAAUGAAUGAUGCUUUGCUCCAGAAGUAAAGAAUGAAUGAUGCUUUGCUCCAGAAGUAAAGAAUUCCAUGAUGGACAUCAUCUGGACGGCGAGUAAUUAAUUCCCUGAUUGGUCCCUGUUGUAGAAGAAAGCACCACCGGCCAGUAGAUCCUCAGCCUGUGUCUACCUGUAUCAUUUCACUGGCAAUGACAGUGAUGUAAGCUGGGUCAUUCAUUUCUUCUGACUGGAUUGAGAACACAGAGAGGACCAGCCAACCUGGAUCGCAGUGAGAGGGGGUGAUGAGCCAGGGAGGUUCUGUGGUGGGUUUGAUCUUUUAUGUUGCAGCACAAAAGGGCCAGUUGGCGUGCAGCACCGGUGGUACUUGUGAGAUUCACGUGACACGGUCUUUCUUUCUUUAGCAGGAAUUCCCCGGCCAUCUCCUGUUGUGAAGACUCGCACAUGAAAGGGGUCUGCCCUGGUGAGCAGAGAGAUGCGCAGAGUACGUACGUAGUUGUAGCUCCUAAGACUGUCUUGACCUGACUUGCCAUAGAUACUUUUUUUGAUGUGGGGUGAUUGGCUUUGGAUUCUCUUCGACCCAAGUGUCAGAGAAAAGACUUGUGAUGCAGUGAACUUGUCACAGGCUCGUUUUUAGGUUGGCCAGCCAUUGAUACUGGAGAACGUCGCUUUAUGUAUUGACACGGGGAAACCUGAAAGUAUCUCCGCCACACACACUAUCACGCACUAAGUACAUUUUAGACAUAAAUACUAAGGAUUAAUAAUAUGAUACGAGAUCCAUUUCAUUACAUCUCAAAAG
rnacentral:lncRNA from 1 species